GGCUCCAAGCUUCAUAGCGAUGCAGAUAAAAUUCAAACACUGUCACUGAAGACUAGACCUUGUUGGAGUAACAUUUUUCCCACUGUAGGAAGUAGAGGAAGAGAUGAAGAGUGUUGUUAAGAAGAGCUUGGAAACCUGGGAUAAUACACCUAAGCUUUUUGCUUUUCAGAAAGCAGCAGCAGAUCUAUGGCAGUAUACCAAAAGCAACGCUCACAUGGCAGGGAUGGCUGUUGCUACUGCUGCCACCCCACAGCCUUUCCUUUCCUGGAGCUCUGACAUGGUCAAAAUAAGCAGUGCGAUCAUUUUGCUGCCACUUGCAAACUGUGACUUUAGGCAAGGGUCCUGGAUGCAAUGGUGGGAUGCACUGGACUCCAUUGCUCCUCAUGUGGUCAUGUGUGAGUGCUGUUGGUUCCAAUCCAGGGAUGGAGCAACAAUUGAUCCUGGGCAGGAUGUCCAUCUAAAGAGACUUUUUGACUUACUCCAGAAUUACAUAUGGAAACCUCCACUGAAAUCCAACAGCCAAGACUACAUCAAUAAAAGUGCUUGGAAAGGCAAAGCCUGCUCACAUGAAGAACAGUCCAAAACAGACUUUGUCCAAAGAUAACAGCUUGUGGUCCCAGAGAUGGCUCCAGGAAAACAGGAAACAACCUCAAGCUGUACUGGGGGAGACUCAGGUUGGAUGUUAGAAAAAAUUUAUUUUCUGAAAGAGGUGUUCCAUCCCUUGGAUCAUUUUUGUGGCCCUCCUCUGGGCACACUCCAGCAGGUUCAUCUCUCUCCUGUAUUGAGGACUCCACAUCUGGAUGGAAUACUCCAGCUGGGGCCUCACCAGCAGAGUAGAGGGGCAAUAUCACCUUCCUCAACUUGCU
ensembl:lncRNA